AGAUUUGUAGUAUCUGGGCCACCAGGGAAGCCCUUGAAUUUUCUUUAAUGAGUGGUGGGCAGGCCGAGCCCAUUUGGCCAGGUGAAAUAUACAUAAAAGAGGCGCCGUCUGCCCUCCUUGGCGUCCACAUCCAGAUUUACCUAAACCCCUCCCAGGUGGCAUAUGCAUAGCUAUGAAAAACCGGUAUUUUCUACCCAUGAAUCACACCCCAAAUCCUGGGCCUCCCUCUGUCAGGGGUGCGGCAGGCCGGCUUCCGGGAAGGGUGGGCAUGGCUGAAGGCCGCUGAGUGCAGAGGGGGCAGGUCCCAUCCGCUGCCAGGGGAUCCGCCGGGUAACUGCUGGUGUCUGCUUUCGGAUCUGGACAUGGAGCCAUCUGCGUGUCCUUCUGUCAAAAGGCCAGACACAGACGGAGGCUUCCUGAGUUUCUGCUGUCGGGGGCCCUGCCGUGCAGCAGACAAGAACAAGGGCCGUGCUGCAUGGCUUGUGGUGUUAGUUCCUGGGCCACGGUUGUGGUCACUGAACUACCAAGGAAUUCUCCUACCUGGCUUUCUAAUGGCUUUUUAAAACUUGAGUCUAUGAGGAAAUGCAAAGGAAACCAUCAUUAGAAUUGACCAGCCAGAAGUGCCAACCAUAUUCUUGACUGAGGAUGCGGUGGGGCCUUGGAACCACAUCCCCAGUUCCCCAAGACUGACUCGAACCUGCAUCCAGCUGGACCCCUGAUUCACUCAUGCAGCUCCAAGACCCUGUUCUCGCCUAGUUAAGUCUUCUUCUUGAUCUGAGAGUCAAAACUAACUCAGGGCAAAUUCCAACUCAGAGAGUCAGAGAACACAGCAGCUGAAAGUUAUAUCCAGCCAUCCCCAGGUGACAGAGGUCACUGAAGCCAGAAAGCUUAGGUGACUUAUUCAGGGUCACAGCUCAGCCUUCCUGAGUCUUGUGAGAAUUUAACCCAGUUUAUGACUCUUUUUUUAACUUUAAAAAAUUUAUUUAUUUUUGGCUGUGCUGGGUUUUUGUUGCUGCGUAGGGGCUUUGUCUAGUUGCAGUGAGCAGGCUUCUCACUGAGGUGACUUCUCUUGCCGCAGAGCCUGGGUUCUCGGGUGCAUGGGCUUCAGCAGUUGUGAUGCACAGGCUUAGUUGCCCCAGAGCAUGUGGAAUCUUUUCAGACCAGGGAUCCAACACGUGUCCCCUGCACUGGCAGGUGAAUUCUCAGCAACUGAACUGCCAGGGAAGUCCUGGCCCUUCUUGAGGAAGGGCGGAAGGCUGUGGAUAAGGCCAGGGGGUCCCAGGGGGCUUUGGCACACAUCCCGGUGGCUCCCCUGGGCCCCAGUGUCCUGCCUUCUGAUGCCCCUCGACCUGAUUCAGGCCCUGCCUCCUGACUCCUCCUCUGGCUCUUCCUUCAGAGGACCGCACAGGGUGGUGCCCUGAGAAGCUGGAUGGUGGGUCUGCCCACGAAGCAUUCUGCCCCAGGCUCACGCGUCUCUGUGAGCAACUCUAGUUAUGCGUACCGUGUGUGACAAGUGGUGUAUGCCACAACACUUGUGAAAGGAAAAUGAUUGUCGGUAGAAAGGGAAGCUAUUACAUACUGAGCUAUUUAUUGUAUUAUCCAGAGCCCAAAUGAGUGAGUGCGUGAACACUCGCACACACACAGUGGCGUGGAGUGUUUGAAACCCUGACUGGCUUUGAAAACCCGAGGUUGGGACUUUCCUGGUGGUCCAGGGGUUGAGACUUCGAAUGCACGGGAUGUGGGUUCGAACUCUGGUAGGAGAACUAAAACCCCACGUGCCUCUCAGCUGAGAAACCAAAACAUAAAGCAAACAAUAUUGUAACAAACUCAGUGAACACUUAAAAAACUAGCCACACCAAAAAAAAAAAAAAAAAAAAA